rnacentral:rRNA from 1 species
UACGGAGGGUGCAAGCGUUAAUCGGAAUUACUGGGCGUAAAGCGUGCGCAGGCGGUUGUGCAAGACCGAUGUGAAAUCCCCGGGCUUAACCUGGGAAUGGCAUUGGUGACUGCACGGCUAGAGUGUGUCAGAGGGGGGGUAGAAUUCCACGUGUAGCAGUGAAAUGCGUAGAGAUGUGGAGGAAUACCGAUGGCGAAGGCAGCCCCCCUGGGAUAACACUGACGCUCAUGCACGAAAAGCGUGGGGGAGCAAACAGG